ACGACCAUGGCCAACAAGGUGGAGACGCUGAAGGAGGAGGAGGAGGAGCUGAAGAGGAAAGUGGAGCAAUGCAGGGACGAGUACUUGGCUGACCUGUACCACUUUGUUACCAAGGAGGACUCCUAUGCCAACUACUUCAUUCAUCUCCUGGAGAUUCAGGCCGAUUACCAUCGCAGGUCACUGAGCUCGCUGGACACAGCCCUGGCUGAGCUGAGGGAGAACCACGGCCAAGCAGGUGGGGACAUAGGCCCGGCGAUACCACACCCCUGACCCUGCCCUGCUCGGGGCUUAUUGAGAAGCUCACACUUCAUCCUGAUAGGUAGCAGGAAG
rnacentral:sRNA from 1 species